AAUGGGGGAAACCCUGAUGCAGCGAUGCCGCGUGAGUGAAGAAGGCCUUUGGGUUGUAAAGCUCUUUCGUCGGGGAAGAAAAUGACUGUACCCGAAUAAGAAGGUCCGGCUAACUUCGUGCCAGCAGCCGCGGUAAUACGAAGGGACCUAGCGUAGUUCGGAAUUACUGGGCUUAAAGAGUUCGUAGGUGGUUAAAAAAGUUGGUGGUGAAAUCCCAGAGCUUAACUCUGGAACUGCCAUCAAAACUUUUUAGCUAGAGUAUGAUAGAGGAAAGCAGAAUUUCUAGUGUAGAGGUGAAAUUCGUAGAUAUUAGAAAGAAUACCGAUUGCGAAGGCAGCUUUCUGGAUCAUUACUGACACUGAGGAACGAAAGCAUGGGUAGCGAAGAGGAUU
rnacentral:rRNA from 1 species